AGUCACUGACAUUAGACUACCCCGGUAGUCCCAGCCGUAAACUAUGCGCGUUAGGUGUAUCGGUGACCACGAGUCACCGAGGUGCCGAAGGGAAACCGUGAAACGUGCCGCCGUGGGAAGUACGGUCGCAAGGCUAGAAACUUAAAGGAAUUGGCGGGGGAGCACCACAACGGGUGGAGCCUGCGGUUUAAUUGGACUCAACGCCGGGAAGCUCACCGGAUAAGACAGCGGAAUGAUUGCCGGGCUGAAGACUCUGCAUGACUAGCUG
rnacentral:rRNA from 1 species